UACGUAGGGGGCUAGCGUUGUCCGGAAUCAUUGGGCGUAAAGCGCGUGUAGGCGGUCCGGUAAGUCCGCUGUGAAAGUCGAGGGCUCAACCCUCGAAUGCCGGUGGAUACUGUCGGGCUUGAGUACGGGAGAGGCGAGUGGAAUUCCUGGUGUAGCGGUGAAAUGCGCAGAUAUCAGGAGGAACACCGGUGGCGAAGGCGGGUCUCUGGGCCACUACUGACGCUGAGAAGCGAAAGCAUGGGGAGCGAACAGG
rnacentral:rRNA from 1 species